rnacentral:rRNA from 1 species
UGGGGAAUCUUGGACAAUGGGGGCAACCCUGAUCCAGCCAUGCCGCGUGAGUGAUGAAGGCCUUAGGGUCGUAAAGCUCUUUCGCCUGUGAAGAUAAUGACGGUAGCAGGUAAAGAAACCCCGGCUAACUCCGUGCCAGCAGCCGCGGUAAUACGUAGGGUGCAAGCGUUGUCCGGAAUUAUUGGGGCGUAAAGCGCACGUAGGCGGACCAGAAAGUUAGAGGUGAAAUCCCAGGGGCUCAACCUUGGAACUGCCUUUAAAACUGCUAGUCUAGAGACCGGAAGAGGUUAGGGGAAUACCUAGUGUAGAGGUGAAAAUUCGUAGAUAUUAGGUGGAACACCAGUGGCGAAGGCGCCUAACUGGUCCGGUACUGACGCUGAGGAACGAAAGCGUGGGGAGCAAACAGGAUUAGAUACCCUGGUAGUCCACGCCGUAAACGAUGAGUGCUAGAUGUUGGGAUUUUCGGAUUUUCAGUGUCGCAGCUAACGCAUUAAGCACUCCGCCUGGGGAGUACGGCCGCAGGUU